GGAGAGAUCGCAUAGUGGUUUAGUGCGCACGCUUGGAAAGUGUGUAAAUCUGCAAAGGUUUCGGGGGUUCGAAUCCCCCUCUCUCCG
rnacentral:tRNA from 1 species